rnacentral:lncRNA from 9 species
GAGAAUGGUUAUUUCAGGUUGAGGAUAGUAAAUUACUCUGAGUUCCUGUCCAUUUGUGCCUGUUGGGGCUUCUGAGUGACCUUUCUUUUGUGGAUAAUAAGGUGAUGACUCAGCCACAGCUCAGAGAACUCCAAAUCCCACAUCCCAGGUGGGAGCUGCAGAAAACGCAGCUUCUCAGAUGUUUCUCCAAACCACCAUGUUUACAAGGUCUGGCUUGAGUGUCACAGCCAAUAGCACCAGCUCCAGGCCCCACUGCCAGACUUGAUGACCACAUAAUAAGCCCUCACCAAGCACUGCUAAGGUGUUAUGAGGCUGUAAAGACUCAGAGGUUUAUGUCAACACCAGGAGUCAAGGGGUCCCUCCUCUGCAGGACCUCUGUGCCUUGCGAACAAAGACACCUGAGAUUGUACAUAUACAUUCCAACCCAAAACAGAAGGGAAGGGAUACAGGACGCUUGGUUAACAGAACAUGUUGCAGGACAUUAAAAUAGCUUGCCAUUCAGAGAAUGCUGUGAAUACCAAGUUUUGGAAGAUGGAAGUAAGUGGCUUGGAUAUGUGCACCUGGAGAGAGUUCACUGGAAUUCAACCCAUUGAGCUGCUGCUUCUCUGCCUUUAAGGGUCAAGUUCUAAGAGAGAGGAUUGGAGCUGUCCAGCUCAUGUUCUCCCCACUUCCCCCCAACCCCCACUACCCCUGCAGCAUGUGGAAGUUCCCAGGGCAGGGAUCGAACCCACACCACAGCAGUAACCAUAGCCGCAGAAGUGACAAUGCCAGUUACUUAACCUGCUGACCCACCAGGGAACUCUAGGCAUUGGCUAGCUUGGAUUAGAUAUUCUCCCUUUUCAGAUAACCACAGGCUAAGAAGGUAGCACUAAAAAUUGUGAGCUGUGCUGCCUCCCCUUGUAGGGUCUAUGACAAGUAACCCUGGAUCUACUUCUCCCAGAUAAAAUAAAAGGAAUCAACUAUAUCUGUUUCAUGAGCUUCCUCAGUUUCCUUUGCCCAUUUCUUGAAAACUCAUUCCUCCCUUCCCUGCUUUUCUGUAGUAAAUAAAAGUAGGAAAAAUGAAAAGAUGAAUCUACUUCCAUCAGGCAAGCUCCUUACACAUUGCCCAGGCUUGCCAUCACCUUUCCCCUCGCUGUAAUCCUGGGGACAAAAUAGACUUGCUCCUUCUCUUAUUGACAUGUUUCUGUAUAUAAGCCCUGGAAGUUUUUUUGGGUUUUUUUGUUUGCUUGUUUUGUUUAACAAGGCUCAGAUAUCUUGUAGUCAAAAUCCUCCUUGACAGCUCUAUGUGGUUAAGUCGAAAUAGGUAUUUAGUAGCAUUAAGAUGAGAUGGAUCUUAACUAUAUCCUGCUGUUAUAAACUAAUACCAUUGUCUUUUGAACUGUCACCGUCCUUGCCUUAAAAAGUGGUGAGUCUGUAGAAGACUUCUGAAUGCUUUUUGGUUGAUAAUUUAUUUCUAGAUGCUCCUAUGUGAACUAGUUUUAAGGUAAAUUGAUUAAAUCUUAUUUUAAACAUACACUAUGUGACAUCAGGAGGUCCUCUGAGCACUCUUUAUGAUCAUGGACUGAUUAUAAUAGAUCAGUAAAUGAAAUUGGAGUUUCAUUGCAUUUAAACACUUCUGGCUAUAUUCUGCAUUUAAAAAAGCUAAUUAUAUAGCUGUGAUGGUUAAUUUUAGGUGUCAACUUGCCUGGACCUUGGGGUUCCCUGAUUAAACAUUACCCUGGGUAAGUCUGUGAGGGCAUUUCCAGAUGACAUUAGUUUGUGUCAGUGCUCAGCAAAUCAGACAGCCCGCCCCAGUGGGGGUGGGCAUCAUCUAACCCAUUGAGGGCUUGAAUAGAGCAAAAGACAGAGGAAGGUGGAAUUCUCUCUCUGCCUGCCUGCUGAGUUGGGACACAAAUCUUCUUAUGCCCUCAGAUGGACACAUCAUCAGUUCUCCUGGUUCUUAGGCUUUUGGACUCAGAAUGGAAUUAUGUCACUAGCUUUCCUGGGUCUCCAGCUUGCAGACUGUGGAUUGUGGGACUUCUCAGCCUCCAGAGUCUUGUGAAC